rnacentral:rRNA from 1 species
UACGUAGGGUGCGAGCGUUGUCCGGAAUUAUUGGGCGUAAAGAGCUCGUAGGCGGUUUGUUGCGUCUAUCGUGAAAACCCGUGGCUUAACUGCGGGCUUGCGGUCGAUACGGGCGGGCUGGAGUUCGGUAGGGGAGACUGGAAUUCCUGGUGUAGCGGUGAAAUGCGCAGAUAUCAGGAGGAACACCGGUGGCGAAGGCGGGUCUCUGGGCCGAUACUGACGCUGAGGAGCGAAAGCGUGGGGAGCGAACAGG